rnacentral:rRNA from 1 species
AUGUUGGCCUGCAGUCAUGCUCUAGUUUAUUUACAGACAUCAAAAAGGAAGAGGGUGAUUGCUGAACCUGAAGGAGCACCAGCAAAGUCCUUGAAAAACGUGGUUGUGCCGGAGAAAUCAGACAGCACCCUAGUUAUAUUGGUUAUACAACCAGUAACACAAAACGUAGGACCGACUCCAGUAGACUGUACCCAUACUUCAUUGGCCACACCACUAGCCGCACCACACAGGACCUGCACUCCAGCAAAAGGUAUGCUGAUUUCAGUUGCCAUAGCACCAGCCGUACCACAGAAAAAUCCCACUCCAGCAAAAAGUACAGCAAGUCCAUCGGCCGAAGACCUAUCCCAACUACAAAGACGGCCAAUUCCUGCAGAUUGGAACCCCAUUCUAGUUAUUCCCAGUUUAAAAGACAAUGCUUUCAAUGUUGUUAGGGACUACGUGCAUAUAUUCCCAUCAUGGGAAGAUUAUAGUGAAGACAAACACCAUUUUCACAUCUUCCUGUCCCACUUACGUGCGAGGGUCAAUCUGGAUAGUCAUGACGAGCAAAGCUUGCUUAUGCUUUUCAAGGAAGCAUUGCAGCAGUAUUGGUGUUACCUGAGGAAAUCACACUUUGAUGGCAAGUCUCUAAACGAAUUUCUGGUGAAGUCUCCUGUGCUAAAUUUAGAAGACAUUGAAUGGAAAAACCUUGUUAUGCACUGGUCUCGUUCCGAGGAUGAGGAAAUCUGCUCGAAAAAGAAUUCCGGUUUGAAAAGAACGACAGGAUAUCGCAAAUAUGCUGCCCGCUGCUUUGCUCUUAAUAAAGGCAAUGCUUAUGAAGAAAAUUCUGUGGUAAACUUCUUGAAUUGCCCCCCAUCAGCAUGGACAAGGGCUUUAUAG